GAUGUAGAACGAAUGGUUUUCUUUUCUCUCCACCUACACAGUACCUCUGCUUCGUGACCAAAAUGCUACAGAAUCGCCGGGGAGCGCUUCCCAGCCGCAACCACACACCCACUCCGUUCAAGAGCCUGGGGGAUCUGUGUUGGACCGUGGACAGCUUAAGGACCAGCGAGCGGGCUACACCCUGGGCCCCAAAUUCCAGGGCAGGGUGGACGGCUGGAGUGGCCACCUUUGUGGACACUGCUCCCAGGUUGCAGAGAGGCUGCAGGGCUCCCCGCCCUCCCCACAGUUUCAGGCUAUCUGGAGGCGAGAGCUAGGGAAGGGCCCUCUCUCUUCAGCCUGGACCCUGACAAGAGGCACAAAGAGAAUGUAAGGAAGCCCUGGAGGUGAAGGAGCCAUACAUCAAAUUCUUGUCCUGAUCACAGUGAAGGACGGUGCCGAUGAGCGAGAUGACAGCCCCCUGCGAGCCUGGCUUGUUAUGAAACACACCCUCAGAAUGCAAAUCUAAGAAACAACUCCUGUCGCGGGCAUGCACGUGGACUUAGGGUCGUCUUGGAGUCAGGAGCCAACCUAGCAUCACAGACUCUGUGAACCACAAAAGCCGUUGACGAUGAAGCUACGGAGGAGCAAACGGGGCGACUUGCCCAACGUUAGAGUUGGCAGAGGGCAGAGCCGGGGCGGCUCCGGGUUCCGCUGGGUGUUUACUGUCUCCGAUGCGGGCCUGCCCUCCCAUUCUGUGCUGGGGCCGGGCUCUGCAUACUCCAUUUCCCGAAUCCCCGGCCGGCUGGUUGGGCUCGGAGAAGAAGCAAUGGCCACCCAAACAGCCCCGUCCACCCGGGAGGACGAUGGGGCCUACGGAGAACAGGCUGCCAGUGGUCAGAGCGAGUGACAGCCAGGACGCGCCGCCUCAUCCUCAGCCGUGUGGCCCGUGGCAGCAGAUUUUUGGGUGGAGGAACAGCAUUUACUUUCCUUCCAGUAACUGGACUAUGGAAAUAGAGGAGUCUGAUGCAGAGUGUAAGUCAGUCUGAAGCACGAACCGCUGAGGAUCAGUGACUCCUCACAGAGGGGCGACAAGAACGGAGCAGAUGGGCCCGGGAGACCCGGGAGACCCGGGAGAAGAUCGCCACCAAAGACCAGUCUCCCCUGCUGGUCCCAGAGGCGCAGCCAGCUCCACCAGGCUCUGUGGGCCCGAGCGGCAGUGCAAGUGCCGAAUCAAUGACAAUUUCAUUCUGUUUUCAGAAAUAAACUCCAGUUAACAAAUUAGGGAAAACCUGCAUUUCACAAACGCCAACAGAUGUUACUAUCUUUACAGCAUUCUGACUAAAAAAACAAACAAGAAUGGGCCACUGUUUUUAUUUUAAAUGCAAACAUGGAUGUUGGUACAUGGUCACGAGGCAGCAUUUAACCUGAACAAACAGCAUACAAACGAGCAAAAGGCAUUUAUUUGUGUACGUCUGAGGCUACACAAUUAAACCUUUACUUGCUUUUAAAACUUCUAAAGGUCUGAUUUUGUAUUUUGAAUAUAUUAAUUAAAUCCCCAAGCUGACCCUACUAUUUAAAAUAACCUGCCUUGGAAGGAGAAAUUUUUUUAAAAAAGGACAGAGUUAACAAACAGGGUUG